rnacentral:rRNA from 1 species
AUUGAACGCUGGCGGCAGGCUUAACACAUGCAAGUCGAGCGAGUGGCGGACGGGUGAGUAAUGUCUGGGAAACUGCCUGAUGGAGGGGGAUAACUACUGGAAACGGUAGCUACUACCGCAUACCCUCGGAUGUGCCCAGAUGGGAUUAGCUAGUAGGUGGGGUAAAGGAUCACCUAGGCGACGAUCCCUAGCUGGUCUGGGGGGAGGACCAGCCACACUGGAACUGAGACACGGUCCAGACGCCGACGGGAGGCAGCAGUGGGGAAUAUUGCACAAUGGGGGAAAGCCUGAUGCAGCCAUGCCGCGUGUAUGAAGAAGGCCUUCGGGUGGUAAAGUACUUUCAGCGGGGAGGCGUUACCCGCAGAAGAAGCACCGGCUAACUCCGUGCCAGCCGCCGCGGUAAUAC